UUUUAAUUUUAUUUUACAUUAUUUGAUGCAAAAAAUUGCCAUUAUUCUUUCCCCUAAAUCUGAUAUAGCUCUUCCAAGUCUUCACCUUCCUGGAUGGAGGAGCAUUUUCUGUCAGUCACAUUUUCUAGGAGUCUCUGGGUCUCAUGGAGUCUAGAACAUUCAGGUAAAGAUGUCCUGAUCUUCUACACACUUGGGUCCUUUUCGUGGGUCCAUGGUUUGGGCCAUCUUGAAGAAGCAACUUUCCCAUUCUCCAGCCAAGCUUGGGAUGGGAUUUUUGAGAGAAAUGAGGAUCUGAGCUCUAGGGGCCCCUGUCUACCCCAGUUGAGGUCCAGCAACCCUUCAGAGAACAUCAAUGAGAGGCGUUUGCUCUCUGCAGUUCUCAGAGCUGGAUCUUCAUCUUGGGAAGCAAUGAAAACCUCUUUCCUCUUUCAUUAGGCCCAUUUGUACCUCUCCCAACUUUUGGUUUCUCCCUCCCCACCGCACAUGGAAUCCAUUGCCGUUAUAUACUUAAUUUUUCUAUCACAUGAGCCUUGGGUGAAGGAUGUCUUCUGGGUGUCUAAAAAAUUCUGCUUUUGACCAUGUGUCAGUUCAUCUCCGGCUGUGUGUUAGACAUGGUAUUUGUAAAAUACUUGUUGAAAUAAUUUGAAGCCAAGGAUAAUGUUACCUUCCUCUCAAGUGGAUUUGAUUUGCCUUUGCAAAGGACCUUGGGGAAGCAGCAAUCCAAGAUGACAUUAUUUCAAGUACAGGGCUCUUUACAAAGCCGUGUAGAAAGAAUUAAAUAUUUUAACAAUUGAUAUAACUAUGCAGGUGUCUCCCAAAGGAAUAUCAGCUCUGAAUGCCCUCAACACUUAGAAAGGUUAAAUACUUGUUAAUAUGGCUAUGUAACUGAUUGCCCCCAAAUUUAGGAUUGAAAACAACAGCCCUCAUUUAUUAUCUCUCAUGAUUUUGGUGAGUCAGGAAUUCAGAGGCAGCUCACUUGGGUGGUUCAAAGUCUCUCAUGAUGUUGUAGUCAAUUGUCAGCUGGGGCUGGUGGCCCCACUUCCAAGGGGGUUCACUUACAAGGCUGGCAAGUUGGUGCUGGUUUUUGGCAGGAGGCCUCAGGUAUUCCUCAUGUGGAUCUUUCUACAGAGAGGCUUGAGUGUCCUCACAGAGUGCUGGCCAGCUUCCCCAGAAAGAGUGAUCCAAGAGAUCAAGGCAAGAGCUGUACUGCCUUUUGUGACCUAGCCUCGGAAUUCAUAAGCUGUCACUUCUACCAAAUUCUAUUGGUCACCCAGGACCAGCCCUGAUUUGAUAUGGAGGGAACCAGCAAGGUUGUGAAUACCAGGUGGCGGGGAUCACUGUGGGCUGUCAUGGAGAAUGACUACCACAUGUAGAAAUGAGGACUCAAACGGAGGUCUGUCUGAGGCAAAGCCCUUGGACCUCACCAAGCUGCCUUCCCCAAGCAACCUGUUUAAUUUGGCGGUCCUUCUGAAAGGGAUAUCACCUUCAGCCUGCAACAGCAUGGCGUAGAUAAACUGCUUACAUUAAGAAUGUCCUGAGAGAGGCAGAGAAGCCUGGGUCCUGGGGCACGGAAUAAGGUAGUGCCAAGUUUUCAGAAUAGAAACCGACUUGUUUCUGCCCCAGGAAGUCUGCAACCUACUGGGUUUAAACAGAGCCUCAAGAAACCAUCAGUCCUUGUCAGUCCCCCAGGAUCUGCAGAACAGCGUCUCGGUUGGAAACAAGGCAGCUUACUUCUGAAUGAUGGCCCAGGCUGCGCUGGCUUUUGCGAAUGUCUCCUCCUCUGGUUGUGCCUGGGGCAGCUCAGGAAGAGUAUGGGGACCAUCCAGGACGUUAGCAGCUCCUACUGUGGCAAGCACCGGUCUCCAUGACUGCAGUUCUCUCCCAGAGGCAGAAAGCAGGGAACUAAGCUUCCAUGUGGACUAAAUUUCAUGGCCACCGCCCAGAAGGGUUGGAAGAGCUGAUGACGUCCCAGGACAGGCUGGAACUUGAGCCCAGCAUUUUACAGAGGGAAACCAGGCCCAGAGAAGGAAUGAUUUUCUUAAUGUCACACUUCCAGAAGUCAGGAAAGCAGAGACCAGCUCAGGACUCAUGAUACCUUUGCCCUAACCUCAAGGCCUUAUCCAGUCUUACCCUUCAUCCCACAAACAACUGGCCAUCAACUGGGCGAUUUUCUUGCCUCUGCUCCCCCAUGGGAAAUGCCAGCCGACUGUAAACGCCCAUGCCCUGAGAGCCUGGCAAGCUGCAUGGCACUUACGUCUGCUGUCUCUGGGAAACAGCACUGACUCCAGAGUUUGCGAGGCGAUCAAGUCGAAGAGCUGAAGAACGGCCUCAAGAUCUUUUUGCCCAGAGCGCCCUCUGGUGGCCAACUGGAUGGCAACCAUUCUCCUUCACUGUGUGAGAUGCUAAGUGGUUGGAGCCAGAGUCUUGUUUUCACUGUUCCUCUUGGGACUUGCUCCUCCCCAGUUAAUGCGCUCUGGUGUCCACUCUGUACAACACAUAUUUACUUCUUACUGCAUCCCUGGAAUAACUGACUCCCGGCCAAUAUUGUUUCUCUGUAUGAGUCACACUGAGACUGGAGCUGAGGGAACUCAAGACAACAAGGCACGGUUCACGCCCCUGAGGAAUGUAAGUUUCAUCGGGCUUGAGACAGGCACGCAAGCAGCUGAGCAGAAUCAGAGCCAGAGGGGCCAAGACUGGACGAAAGCGAGCAAAGGGCUAGGGGACACAGCCAAAACAGGAGCGAGUGGCAGCCACAGAGAUGCAGGAGGCCUUUCUGGGGAAACUGGUGUCUGAGUUCUCAAGGAGAAGCGGGAUUUCUGAAUGGGGGAGGGGCGAGGGCAGGGAGGGACGGGGCGUGGCCAAUCUCUCCCUGUUUCACCUUCUCCUGUGGCCUUUCUCUGUUUCCCUCCCUCCUUACUCACCACGGUCCCAAUACCUCUCCGAAUCACCGCUACCCAAAGUGCCCACUUUCCAGGAGAGAGCCGGACCAGUCCCUGGGCGUCUUCCAACAGACCUCCCCUCUCUCCCCGUGCCACGUCUCCUACGGUUCCUCGGGCGCCCACCCCUCGUGCCCUCCACCCUGCAUUGACCAGCUGGAUUCCUGAAACCUGCAUUGGCCUGUGUACAGUUUGGGCACUGUCUGAAUCAAUAACGGGAAAACGGUUCCUGAACAGGAGCAGCGGGGAAUUAGAAAAAUCUAACGAAGCCUGAUUGUAAAGUCCUGGAAGGGAGACAAAAAGGGGCCUUUCCUAUGGGUCGAAUGGGACCUACAGAGAGGGUGACUCCCGGAGAAUUCAGAGGAGGGAACAAAGAGUUCACUCUGGGGCCAUGGUGGCAGGUAGCGGUUAGAAGCUGGAGAAAGGAGGGAAUGGAACUCCAAUGGCAAUGACAAUAACUUCCUGACAAGAAUGACAGGAGGAAGCUGGGAGCAAAGACAGGAGUGCUUGGGGCAUGUUUGAAGGAGGGCUCUUGGCUUAUCUUACCUGGAUUGGAGGGUUGAGGUAUAUUUGUCUUUUACGAGGCCUAAAGAUGGUUUUUCUUAGGGCAGAGGGGAGCCAUUGAGGGUUAGGGACCAGGAGAGUGGCGUGAUGAAAGGUAUCUUGGCAUAGAUCCAUAAACAAAUGUUUCCUUCCCACACUGGUUUCUGUGACAAGGCCUCAGACUGCGGUUCCUGCAGGAGCCCCAUGUGCCUGCCUGGGUACCACCCCUGCAGGUAGGAGCUGCUCUCCUGCCCUCAGUGUCCCCCUGCAGUUUUCAGCCUUUCUGCUACUCGAGCGAGUGAGGAAGCUGGCCACGGACCUCACCCAGAGAGAGUGAACUUGAGGCCAGCUGGACACUUGAGGGAAGGAGACCAGCCAUGGAACAGGGGUGUGGGUCCCAGGCCUCUUGGGCUUUACCUGAAUCUGCCACCUGCCAGCUGAGGGGUCUUUAAGCAAACCCUGUGUCCUCUCGGUCUUGGGGACCUGCUGGCAGCCAUGCCACCCUCUCCCUGUCACCCAAGCAGCUUGGCCUUUCACUUGGGUUCCAGAUGCAAAUGCAGAGUUUGCUGGAGACUUGGUGUUCUCUGAGAAGCUAAAGUGGGCCACAGUGCUCAGAUGUCCAAGUCAGUCUAUUCCUAUAAUUAAAAAACAAUGAUAACAAUAAUCAUAGCAUCUACUGAGCAAGUACUACAUACAAGGCACUCUGCUAAGCCCUCUAAAUACACAAGCUAUUUUCAUCCUUACAAUAAACCUGUGAUGUAGGUAUUAUGAUGCCCACUUUGGAGAUGAGGUUAAUGAAGGUGAAGUGACUUGUCCGAGAAAGUCCCAAAAUUGGGAUUUGAAUCCUCUAACUCCAGAACCCAAGUCCUCAGCCCCUGUGGCAGUGAUUCUAAAGGGUCCACCCUCCACCCUUCACGCAGGCUGAGCUCCAUUUGUCCAUGUGUACAGCCUGCUGGGCCACAUGCACAGGUCUGCUGACUCUCCUCCAGCUGUAGCCUGGCUUCACACCUUCCUGGAUAAAUAAUGCCACAGCUGCAAAAACCUAACAGCCAAGUUCAGCUGUGGGUGGAAAGCACACUUUAGUGGCUGGAGCCCAGAGGUGGCUUCCAUUUGUCCCGAGUAUUUGAGGUGGCUGUGGGGAGCAUGGAAGAAGGCCAAAGCAGAAGGUGUUUGGUAAGGAAUGCUAUUAUUUCUCCUUCGAGAGAUUCAUUUGCUCAGGGAACAAUUCACGAUUAUUUGCAAUUGGCAUCUAGUUUCUAUGCAAAAGAGAGGCAGAAAACGGCAGAGUGGUCUCUGAAGCUAACAGUCCUGAUGCUCGUCUUGGCUCUCCUUCUCCCUAGUUGGGUCAACUUGGGCAAAUCACUUCACCUCUCUGAGACUCAGUUUCCUCGUGUGUUAAAUGGGUAUGCUACAGAACCACUUCAUAGAUCGAGCGAGAUGAUCCCUAAUAGAUCCUUAACACAGGGGCUCAGCAAGCGGGAGCUAUUAUUAAUAAAAUAGAUGCAC
ensembl:lncRNA